rnacentral:rRNA from 1 species
GGGCGCAAGCCUGACGGAGCGACGCCGCGUGAGUGAGGAAGGUCUUCGGACUGUAAAACUCUGUUGUGAGGGAAGAACGGCUGAAAGAGGGAAUGCUUACAGCGUGACGGUACCUCACGAGGAAGCCCCGGCUAACUACGUGCCAGCAGCCGCGGUAAUACGUAGGGGGCGAGCGUUGUCCGGAAUGAUUGGGCGUAAAGGGCGUGUAGGCGGUCUGGGAAGUCUGAUGUGAAAAUCCGCGGCUCAACCGCGGAAGGCCAUUGGAAACUCUCGGACUUGAGAGCAGGAGAGGAGAGCGGAAUUCCACGUGUAGCGGUGAAAUGCGUAGAGAUGUGGAGGAACACCAGUGGCGAAGGCGGCUCUCUGGCCUGGCUCUGMCGCUGAGGCGCGAAAGCGUGGGGAGCAMACAGGAUUAGAUACCCUGGUAGUCCACGCCGUAAACGAUGAGUGCUAGGUGUUAGUGGGGCUACCCAUUCGUGCCGAAGGAAACCCAAUAAGCACUCCGCCUGGG